GUCAUGUGAUAAGUAUCGUUCGAAGACAGUGACAAGGCUUACCACUGAACCUAUAUGUUGUCCAGGUUUUGUACCCUACAACGAUACUGCUGCAUUUUGCGUGAAAGGAUGUGAAACCGGUAAGUAUGGGGACAACUGCACACUUGACUGUAACUGUACAGGCAAUACCAGACCAGACUGCGAUAUAAGUACAGGCGAUUGCAAAUGCAAGGAUGGAUGGACUGGACAAAAUUGCACCGACGUAUGCGAUGAGGGGUUUUACGGUCACAGCUGCGAAAAUGCAUGUGCGUGCGAAAACAACAGCACGUGUGAACACGUGAAUGGAACGUGCAACUGCACAGAGCCAGGGUGGAUAGGUGACACUUGUGACACAGGUACUGCAUAACGAUAUCCCACACAGAUAAACAUAUGGAUAAAUGUACACCGAUUCACACAUUGACAUAUUUCUGUAUUAUGUUCUCCUUCGUACAUAAAUCAUUUUGUAUCUUUUUUUGCAAUAACAUAAAACAAACACAUUUUUGAUAACCUAGUAGCAUGCGAGCUGCGUGUACAGCAGUGUGUCCAUACCAAAAUGUUUCUUACAAUAUCGAUAAUUCGUUUUGAAAUUCAUGAAUGCACUUCAAAGUCCAAGCUAUCAGAACAAUACACAUUUCUGAUCGCCAAACUGAAAAACAACAUCCUGUCAUUGUGAUACGAAUUCUAUCUCAAGCGUGAGUUCUACAUACAUAAAAACAAUAAUUAAAACAGAGAUAAUAUGAAAAUACGCUCUUAAACCCAUUCUAUAAUAUCUAUCUUACAUUUCAGGAAAACGCAUUUUUAUGUAUACAAGAAUAAUCACUUUUUGUACGUAGUUUUCCUUUUUGACGUG